UAACAUAAUUGGACAACUUACCAGUAGUAAUAAUCUUUGGAACCACCACGUAAAUUCACUCUUUAUUCGGUUCUCUUUUCUCUGACUCUCAAUGUCAUCAGAUUCAUAGCCCUCAUGAGUGGCAUCUGGACUAAUCUCUUCAUCAUCAUUGACAUGGAAAUGCAUCCAACGGAUCCCACACCCCU